AACGAACGCUGGCGGCAUGCCUAACACAUGCAAGUCGAACGAGACCUUCGGGUCUAGUGGCGCACGGGUGCGUAACGCGUGGGAAUCUGCCCUUGGGUUCGGAAUAACAGUUAGAAAUGACUGCUAAUACCGGAUAAUGUCUUCGGACCAAAGAUUUAUCGCCCAGGGAUGAGCCCGCGUAGGAUUAGCUAGUUGGUGAGGUAAAGGCUCACCAAGGCGACGAUCCUUAGCUGGUCUGAGAGGAUGAUCAGCCACACUGGGACUGAGACACGGCCCAGACUCCGGUACGGAGGCAGCAGUGGGGAAUAUUGGACAAUGGGCGAAAGCCUGAUCCAGCAAUGCCGCGUGAGUGAUGAAGGCCUUAGGGUUGUAAAGCUCUUUUACCCGGGAUGAUAAUGACAGUACCGGGAGAAUAAGCCCCGGCUAACUCCGUGCCAGC
rnacentral:rRNA from 1 species